UACGGGGGGGGCAAGCGUUGCUCGGAAUCACUGGGCGUAAAGCGCACGUAGGCGGAUUGCUAAGUCAGGGGUGAAAUCCUGGAGCUCAACUCCAGAACUGCCUUUGAUACUGGCGAUCUCGAGUCCGGGAGAGGUGAGUGGAACUGCGAGUGUAGAGGUGAAAUUCGUAGAUAUUCGCAAGAACACCAGUGGCGAAGGCGGCUCACUGGCCCGGUACUGACGCUGAGGUGCGAAAGCGUGGGGAGCAAACAGG
rnacentral:rRNA from 1 species